rnacentral:lncRNA from 1 species
AUGGGGGGCCCAGAUCCAGUUGGGUGGGGGUCUUGGAUCCAUCCGGAUCCUGUUGGGUCGGGGUCUUGGAUCCUUCCAGAUCCUGUUGCAUGGUGGGCCAGCAUCCAGUUGAGUGGGGGUCUUGGGUCUUUCCAUAUCCCUUUGCAUGGUGGGCCCAGAUCCUGUUGCAUGGUGGUCUUGGAUCCCUCUGGAUCCCUUUGUGUGGUGGGCCCGGAUCCCUCUGGAUCUGUUGGCGUCGUGUGCCCGGAUCCAGUUGGGUGGGCGUCUUGGAUCCCUCAGGAUCCAUUUGCAUGGUGGGUCCAGAUCCCAUGGGGUGGUGGCUCCUGGUUCUUCUGGAUCCCUUUGCAUGGUGGACCAGGGUCCCUCUGGACCCCUCCAGAUGUUGGCAUCAGAUUCUUCCAGGUGGUGGCUCUGGAUCCUUCUGGAUUUCCCUGCUUCUGGGCCCCAGAGUCGCCUGGAUCCCCUCACAGUGGCCCCGAAUCCCCCUGGAUCCUCUCCCAGCGGCCCAGGAUCUCCUGGUGCAUCUGGGUGCCCUCACAGCAGCCCCAGAGCCCUCUGUCACGGCACGGGGGGAGCAGAGGCAGCGGCUGGGACUGUGCCCCACGUCACUGUCUGCUGCGUGGCCAACCCGCACAACAGGGAGCUGGCAAGCCAGGAGGCUCUGAGAUUUGUCCUGAUUUUUCCAGGGCUGGUUUGUGUCUUCCUGCAUCUGGGCAUCUGCCUUCCGUGGUUACCAGCCCUAGGGCAGAGCUGUGCGCGCCGUGGCGUGCGCCUAGGGCAGCCACUGUAAAACUGAAAUGGAGGUGUUUCGCUCACGGCCUGGCCGAUAGCUGGUACGUGCUGGGCUGUGGUGCUGCUCCUGCAAAGAGGAUGCAGCCGUUGGGGCUGGGACCUGGGGCCCCUGUUACUUCACUCACGAAAUCUCACUUGCGAGGACCUUUGCUCUCACUAUUUUUUAUAUUGACUCGCGUUACCUACAUGCUGUUUUUCGGAAUCGCUGAAAGGUAA